rnacentral:rRNA from 1 species
GACGAACGCUGGCGGCGUGCUUAACACAUGCAAGUCGAACGGAAAGGCCCUACUUUUGUGGGGUGCUCGAGUGGCGAACGGGUGAGUAACACGUGAGUAACCUGCCCUUGACUUUGGGAUAACUCUAGGAAACUGGGGCUAAUACCGGAUAUGAUCUUCUGCUGCAUGGGGGUGGUUGGUAAGUUUCGGCGGUUGGGGAUGGACUCGCGGCUUACCAGCUUGUUGGUGGGGUAGUUGCUUACCAAGGCUUUGACGGGUAGCCGGCCUGAGAGGGUGACCGGCCACAUUGGGACUGAGAUACGGCCCAGACUCCUACGGGAGGCAGCAGUGGGGAAUAUUGCACAAUGGGCGGAAGCCUGAUGCAGCAACGCCGCGUGCGGGAUGACGGCCUUCGGGUUGUAAACCUCUUUCGCCUGUGACGAAGCGUGAGUGACGGUAAUUGGUAAAGAAGCACCGGCUAACUACGUG